rnacentral:rRNA from 1 species
UACGUAGGGUGCGAGCGUUAAUCGGAAUUACUGGGCGUAAAGCGUGCGCAGGCGGUGAUGUAAGACAGAUGUGAAAUCCCCGGGCUCAACCCGGGACCUGCAUUUGUGACUGCAUCGCUAGAGUACGGCAGAGGGGGAUGGAAUUCCGCGUGUAGCAGUGAAAUGCGUAGAUAUGCGGAGGAACACCGAUGGCGAAGGCAAUCCCCUGGGCCUGUACUGACGCUCAUGCACGAAAGCGUGGGGAGCAAACAGG